rnacentral:rRNA from 1 species
AUGGGGAAGUCAGGCGGCGGCGGCGGCAGAGACGGCAUGAUGAGGGCCCCCGGCGCCGACGGCUACAUCGCCCGCUCCGGCUUCGAGGCCAACCCCCAGGGCUACUUCGCGGGUCUCCACCACGGAGACGCCGCCAAGUAG